UUAAAUUGAAGAGUUUGAUCAUGGCUCAGAUUGAACGCUGGCGGCAGGCCUAACACAUGCAAGUCGAACGGUAGCACAGAGGAGCUUGCUCCUUGGGUG
rnacentral:rRNA from 2 species